rnacentral:lncRNA from 1 species
AUUUUUGAUAGUAUAUUAAUAAUGUAGUUUUACUUAGGAAUUGAUUAGGUUCCAUCACUUUUCUUAAUUAGAUUUUGGAUUUUUAGAAGUUAACUUCAUUGACUAAUCUUUCCGUGGUUAAUAUGAUUUGUCAUUAGGGUUUGAUUAUUCAUUUUAUUGAUCUAAUUCAUGAUUGAAUAAUAUGCUUAAAUGUUGAUUUUUG